rnacentral:snRNA from 1 species
UUCCACUGUUCCACAUUCAUCAAU